rnacentral:lncRNA from 1 species
UAAUAAACUUUCAGUUAUAAUAAACUUUCAGUUUCAGUUUUUCUUUUUAUAAUAAACUUCAAUCUUUUCAGUUUUUACACAUUAACACAUCCUAUAUUAUAGGAUCCUAUAUUAUAGGAUUAACACAUAAGCAAAGCUGGAAUACCCAUAUAGUUAGGGUUUACAAACAUUUGACGAAAAAGAAACAUGUGAACAAUUUCUAUCUAUAUAUACGUGUUCAAGUGCCAGCGAAACGGACAAUAAAAAAGAAAAAGCAUUAAUUAAACGAUGAAAUUAUGACAAAAGAUUCGCUCUUUAUCUUUUAUGUUAAAGUUGUUAUUUCCUUGUUAACUGUUGUCUGUCAUUAACAAAGCAAGUGAAAAAUGUACAUAAUGACAACUGUGCUCUCGUUUGCCAGUCCCACCAAAAUUGUUUUCAGAAAAAGUUGACUUUUUCUUCAUCUUCUGUUUCAGAUAUAGAGAAAACACAGCCAACAUGGAUCCAGAGGAACCGCUCAAGAUUAUGCUUGUCUAUCCCAAAGCGUCCACAUUCUACUAUUAGUUGUGAAUCGUCAUCUUCUUGUAAAAGACCGCAAUUGAGCCUUGCAGCAUCAGACCAGCUUAGUAAAUCUGACAAUAAAAGUACUAUACCAUCAGCAAAAGAAUCAUUGGCUUGGCGGUUAGUCUUAUUAAAUCCCAUGUUUCUUUGAAACCAUUUGCAAUGUGAUUUGUUUGCUGUAAACUUGACUCAUCAUGUUAUUUUUUAUAUUUUAUGUUGUUCAAAAACUUCUUACUUUAGUCAAUUUUAUAUUAUUAACUGAUAGACCUUAAUACAAUACAAGGGUUGAAUUAAGA